UAAAAUGAGAGUUUGAUCCUGGCUCAGGACGAACGCUGGCGGCGUGCCUAAUACAUGCAAGUAGAACGCUGAGGACUGGUGCUUGAACUGGUCUAAGGAGUUGCGAACGGGUGAGUAACGCGUAGGUAACCUACCUCAUAGCGGGGGAUAACUAUUGGAAACGAUAGCUAAUACCGCAUGACAAUAGGGUACACAUGUACCCUAUUUAAAAGGGGCAAAUGCUUCACUAUGAGAUGGACCUGCGUUGUAUUAGCUAGUUGGUAAGGUAACGGCUUACCAAGGCGACGAUACAUAGCCGAC
rnacentral:rRNA from 1 species